UACGGAGGAUGCGAGCGUUAUCCGGAUUUAUUGGGUUUAAAGGGUGCGUAGGCGGAUCGUUAAGUCAGUGGUCAAAUUGAGGGGCUCAACCCCUUCCCGCCAUUGAAACUGGCGCUCUUGAGUGGAAGAGAAGUAUGCGGAAUGCGUGGUGUAGCGGUGAAAUGCAUAGAUACCACGCAGAACCCCGAUCGCGAAGGCAGCAUGCCGGCUUCCGACUGACGCUGAAGCACGAAAGCGUGGGGAUCGAACAGG
rnacentral:rRNA from 1 species